GGACUACCGGGGUAUCUAAUCCUGUUUGCUCCCCACGCUUUCGCGCCUCAGCGUCAGUUAAUGUCCAGCAGGCCGCCUUCGCCACUGGUGUUCCUCCGUAUAUCUACGCAUUUCACCGCUACACACGGAAUUCCGCCUGCCUCUCCAUCACUCAAGAUAAACAGUUUCCACCGCAGUUCCAGGGUUGAGCCCUGGAAUUUCACGGCAGACUUAUUCACCCGCCUACGCGCCCUUUACACCCAGUAAAUCCGGACAACGCUCGCCACCUACGUAUUACCGCGGCUGCUGGCAC
rnacentral:rRNA from 1 species